AUUGAACGCUGGCGGCAGGCCUAACACAUGCAAGUCGAGCGAGCGGCGGACGGGUGAGUAAUGUAUGGGGAUCUGCCCGAUAGAGGGGGAUAACUACUGGAAACGGUGGCUAAUACCGCAUACUAUCGGAUGAACCCAUAUGGGAUUAUCUAUUAGGUGGGGUAAAGGCUCACCUAGGCGACCAUCGCUAGCUGGUCUGAGAGGAUGAUCAGACACACUGGGACGGUGCCACGGCCCAGACUCCUACGGGAGGCAGCAGUGGGGAAUAUUGCCAAAUGGGCGAAAGCCGGAUGCAGCCAUGCCGCGUGUAUGAAGAAGGCCUUAGGGUUGUAAAGUACUUUCAGCGAGGAGGCGUUACCCGCAGAAGAAGCACCGGCUAACUCCGUGCCAGCCGCCGCGGUAAUAC
rnacentral:rRNA from 1 species